UCGAACUCUUGACCUCAGGUGAUCCACCUGCCUCGGCCUCCCACAAGUGCUGGGAUUGCAGGCAUGGGCCACUGCGCAUGGCCUGGCUUCUUAUUUUAAUCCCAAAUUUUAUUCUUAAAUUGCCUUGUUAAUUUUUUUAUAGCCUAUGCAAGUUACUAGGAACAUAAUAAGCAGCAUACUUUUAUGCUUACUUUUAUUUUGAUUUUCUUAUUAAUUUCUAUAUUGGAUAUUCAUGAAUAUCUAGCAUUUUCAAGCUUGUUUUAGGCUAGGGUAGGAGAAGGAUUCUAGUAUUGGAAGAGGAACACCUUAGUGAUUUUUUUAGCUCACUUUGAGGUAUGUGAGCUCCAGAGAGGUUGAGAAACUUGUCUAGGGCCACAAAACUAGUGAAGGACAAAGCUGAGAAGAUUCUAGUCUAUAUCUUCUGCCUUCUAGACCAGUGGUCUCUCUCUUAUACAAAGGUGCUUUGCUGAUACAGUCAUAAGAGAAUCACAGAAAAUGAGAAUCAUCAGACGAUACACAGUGAGCGUUAGUUUAUCUAGUCCAGUGUAUUAGAAACAAUGGCUUCUGUCCUGUUUAGGAUUUUAGUGACAGUGGUUACAUCAAAGGAAACUUAAUUUCUUGAGACAUGAAGGCUCAUAAAAAUUCUUUAUACUUGAAUAUUUGCUACAAGUAGAAUAAUUUUAGCUUUCUAUUAAAACCACUAUAGGUAUAUUUGUUAGUUCUCUGCUUACAGCCCUAGCUUGGAAACUAGUAGAGGAUGGAUGUUAAGGCUUACUAGUAGAAGAAAAUGUUGGAGUAAAAAUAUAUGUGAGUGGGAGGAGCUAUUGACCCAUAAAAGUGUUAUCUUGAAAAGCUGCUGAAAGAUGGGGCUUGUUCUCAUCUCCUCAGUUGUUUGCCCCUACAAGUGCUGGCGUACUGCUGUAUUCAAUGUGUAUAACUUUAAAAACCGUUUCAGUUGUCUAAAAAGCAGUUGAAUCACCUUUUAUUUUGAAAUGGUAUUGAUUGCAUGUUUAAAUGAUAAUAUUUUGGAGAUACUGAAUUAAUUGUGUGUGUGUGUGUGUGUGUUUUCUGUGGUGAAAACACUUAUUUUACAAUAGUAAUCUUUAUUUUAGGUCAACAUUCAGACAUACAAGAAAUGUGUUGUUACAAUUAAAAUUUUUU